rnacentral:rRNA from 1 species
CCUACGGGUGGCUGCAGUCGAGAAUCAUUCACAAUGGGGGAAACCCUGAUGGUGCGACGCCGCGUGGGGGAAUGCAGGUCUUCGGGUUGUAAACCCCUGUCAUGUGGGAGCAAAUUAAAAAGAUAGUACCACAAGAGGAAGAGACGGCUAACUCUGUGCCAGCAGCCGCGGUAAUACAGAGGUCUCAAGCGUUGUUCGGAAUCACUGGGCGUAAAGCGUGCGUAGGCUGUUUCGUAAGUCGUGUGUGAAAGGCGCGGGCUCAACCCGCGGACGGCACAUGAUACUGCGAGACUAGAGUAAGGGAGGGGGAACCGGAAUUCUCGGUGUAGGAGGGAAAGGAGUAGAUAGUGAGAGGAACACUCGUGGCGAAGGCGGGUUCCUGGACAUUAAAUGACGCGGAGGCACGAAGGCCAGGGGAGCGAAAGGGAUUAGAUACCCUGGUAGUC